rnacentral:rRNA from 1 species
UGCCAGACUCCUACGGGAGGCAGCAGUCGGGAAUAUUGCGCAAUGGAGGAAACUCUGACGCGGUGACGCCGCGUAUAGGAAGAAGGUUUUCGGAUUGUAAACUAUUGUCGUGAGGGAAGAAAUUGACAGUACCUCAGGAGGAAGCUCCGGCUAACUAUGUGCCAGCAGCCGCGGUAAUACGUAGGUGGCAAGCGUUGUCCGGAUUUACUGGGUGUAAAGGGCGUGUAGCCGGGCUGACAAGUCAGAUGUGAAAUUCCGGGGCUCAACCCCGGACCUGCAUUUGAAACUGUUGGUCUUGAGUAUCGGAGAGGCAGGCGGAAUUCCUAGUGUAGCGGUGAAAUGCGUAGAUAUUAGGAGGAACACCAGUGGCGAAGGCGGCCUGCUGGACGACAACUGACGGUGAGGCGCGAAAGCGUGGGGAGCAAACAGGAUUAGAUACCCUAGUA